CUACCAUGCAGUCGACGAUGAGCCCUUCGGGGUGGAUUAGUGGCGAACGGGUGAGUAACACGUGGGCAAUCUGCCCUUCACUCUGGGACAAGCCCUGGAAACGGGGUCUAAUACCGGAUAACACUCUGUCCUGCAUGGGACGGGGUUGAAAGCUCCGGCGGUGAAGGAUGAGCCCGCGGCCUAUCAGCUUGUUGGUGGGGUAAUGGCCUACCAAGGCGACGACGGGUAGCCGGCCUGAGAGGGCGACCGGCCACACUGGGACUGAGACACGGCCCAGACUCCUACGGGAGGCAGCAGUGGGGAAUAUUGCACAAUGGGCGAAAGCCUGAUGCAGCGACGCCGCGUGAGGGAUGACGGCCUUCGGGUUGUAAACCUCUUUCAGCAGGGAAGAAGCGCAAGUGACGGUACCUGCAGAAGAAGCGCCGGCUAACUACGUGCCAGCAGCCGCGGUAAUACGUAGGGCGCAAGCGUUGUCCGGAAUUAUUGGGCGUAAAGAGCUCGUAGGCGGCUUGUCACGUCGGAUGUGAAAGCCCGGGGCUUAACCCCGGGUCUGCAUUCGAUACGGGCUAGCUAGAGUGUGGUAGGGGAGAUCGGAAUUCCUGGUGUAGCGGUGAAAUGCGCAGAUAUCAGGAGGAACACCGGUGGCGAAGGCGGAUCUCUGGGCCAUUACUGACGCUGAGGAGCGAAAGCGUGGGGAGCGAACAGGAUUAGAUACCCUGGUAGUCCACGCCGUAAACGUUGGGAACUAGGUGUUGGCGACAUUCCACGUCGUCGGUGCCGCAGCUAACGCAUUAA
rnacentral:rRNA from 1 species